GCUUAGUUCCCAUCCUCAUCUCCCAAACACAAACCAGUCCUUCGCCUCCACCGCUCACGAUCUUCCAGCCAUCUGCCUGCACUGAGGUGACGCCCAGGUAGUGGGCGUAAAGGGACGCCACAGAAGAGCCAGAUCUGAGCAACAAAAGCCCAGGGGAUUUUCAGCUCCAUCUGUUGUCGGCGUGGCUUUAUCGCAGCUGAAAGCAUCCAGGACAUGACUCCAUCCAGGAUCAACCUUCAUCCAAGUCUUCAUUACCAUAAUCAAAUUCACUCCGGGGACUUGGGCAGAUUUCAUUUUCCACUAUCAAAACUUUUUUUUUUUUUUAAAGAAUCAAAGUUAAAUGACUAAAUGGGCACUGUGGACCCGUUGGUCUGCAGCAAGUUUUGCCUGUUUAGUGGCAUUACGUGAUGGAGGCGCACGUUUAAAUAAUGAGGAAUGAACAUUACUGGCAGACCACAGGAAACCAUAAACCUAAUGCUGGAGGCGACUGUCUUCGGUGAACUGUCAGUGGACAGACUCUUCUUCAUUAAUCAAAAGGAAGAGUGAGAGAGGCACAAACAACUCCUGAACAGUUAUUUUUCUAAAGCCAGAAGAAGUCAUCAAUCAUCCCAAGCAUGAUGUCUGAUUUAGUCUAAUGAUAUGAAGUUCAUAAUCUUUGUUUACUAAAUUUCAAGUCAAAAUCAAGACAGAGAAUAUUACAUGCAUUGUUUCACAACAUGCAAACAAAUCUAAUGUUUGAAAAGGCAGUAAAAUCCCCUUUAAUGGGCAAUGGAGCUUAGUUCUAUGUUGAUGAAUGUCCAGUUUCAAGCCUGAAAACCUGUGGGCCAGAUCAUGUUCAAGUUAUCCCAAAAGAUACACUUUUUGGCUCUUCCUGGGAGACAGAAACCUGCAAACUGUGCUGUUUUUAGAGUUAUGUGUGCACAAAUGAUUUACAGAAACAACAUACAAGAGCCAAAAGACUUAGGUACAAAUUCACAUUUUCAAUGAAUCUGUCGUGGUUGCGAGACAACAAGUGGGGCGGGUCGCAAGAUGAUUAUCAGAACCAUUGUGAUAUGACCCCUGGGGACUAUGGAGGGCCAAAGGGAACAAAAUUUAAUAAAUGCAUAUAUCAUGAAAUAAAUAAAUGUACCAUGAAAUAAAUGUACAUAUUAAAUGAAUUCAUUUUACCAUU